rnacentral:tRNA from 1 species
UGAUUCAUGGUGUAAUUGGAGAGCACCCAGGAUUACGACUCUUGGAGUUCAGGUUCGAACCCUGAUGAAUCAGCCA